rnacentral:rRNA from 1 species
AACGAACGCUGGCGGCAUGCCUAACACAUGCAAGUCGAACGAACCCGCCGGGGUUAUUGGCGCACGGGUGCGGAAGGCGGGGGGACCUGCCCGUAGGUUCGGAAUACCUCAGAGUGAUUUAAGCUAAUACCGGAUAAUGUCUUAUCACCUAAGAGCUCUCGCCUAUGGAUGGGCCUGCGUUGGAUUCGUUAGUUGGUGGGGUAAUGGCCUACCAUGGGGUCGAUCCAUAGCUGGUGUGAGAGCACGACCAGACACAGUGGGAGUGAGACACGGGCCAGACUCCUACGGGAGGCAGCAGUGGGGAAUAUUGGAGAAUGGGCGAAAGACGGAGCAAGCAAUGCCGCGUGAGGGAUGAAGGCGUGAGGGUUGUAAAUUUCUUUUGUCAGGGAGGAUAAUGACAGUACCGGGGUAAAAAGCCCCGGCUAACUCCGUG